UGCAAUGAUUGUCUCAUGAUGGACUGUACAACUUCUUCGCCAACUCUGGUUCCAUGUCUGUCACCAUUUAUUAAUAUAUUUGCUUCUCAAAGAAUUAUCAGAAAGCACAAACCUUAUGCAUGCAAGGCCAAAGAUGAGAGCAAAUGCAGAAGACAACCUGCUAUGGGAAAGCAGAUGGAAUCCAAACAAGAUGAUUCUCCUUCCAUCUUUUCAUGGAGAUUUAAAUUUUAAAUGAAGUCACUCAAGAAUGCAAGAAGAUAAAUCAUCUUGAUGGCAAUGCCUUAGGUCUAGAGAUAUAUUAAUAUUUUCCUCUUUCUUAUCUCCACUGUAUCUGGCUGUUAGAUUCUUCCUUUUAUGAUUUCAUCAACCUUUAUUUUUUAAAGAUUUAAUUCUUCUUUUCUACUUAAUAGUCUCUGUUUAUGGUGGUCAUACGAUUUUAUUUGAUAAAGUAGGGCAUGAAUCAAGCAUUCCUAGUUUAUUGGGCUAACUGCACUGUUAAAGUGGUCUUAUACUAUACUUAAUAUCAUUAAAAAAUUAUGCAGCCAGAAAAAUAAUCUCUGAUUCCUAAUUCUUUGGAGGUAGAACUUUCAUUUCUCUCCUCUGGAGUUGGUAUAAAUGUUUCAAAUAUGCCUUUCUCCAAAUUAAACUGAUAAGAUCUUGUUCUCAGAUAGAAAUUCCCAUUAUAUACUACACCCUGAAAGUAUAUUAGGUCUGGAAAGUACCUAUUUCUUCAAACUUGAUAUGAGUUAUUCAUGCAUUGUCUUGUCAUAGGAUUUUGAGAAAUAUGUGUGUGUGUGCAUGUGUGUAUGCCUGUGUCUGUGUGUCUGUG
rnacentral:lncRNA from 13 species